rnacentral:sRNA from 1 species
CUUUGGUUCCCGAGGAGAAUUUGAAGGUUUCGUAGCUGUGGUGAACAAGGCCAUGAGUGCCAAGUUUGAGCGGCUGGUGGCGAGCGCAGAGCAGCUGCUGAAGGAGCUGCCCUGGCCCCCAACCUUUGAGAAGGACAAGUUCCUCACCCCUGACUUCACCUCCCUGGAUGUUCUCACCUUCGCUGGCUCCGGCAUCCCUGCCGGCAUCAACAUCCCCAACUACGAUGAUCUGAGGCAGACGGAAGGCUUUAAGAACGUGUCGCUGGGGAAUGUGCUGGCUGUGGCCUACGCCACGCAGCGGGAGAAGCUCACCUUUCUGGAGGAGGAUGACAAGGACCUGUACAUCCUCUGGAAGGGGCCCUCCUUCGAUGUGCAGGUGGGCCUGCACGAGCUGCUGGGCCAUGGCAGUGGCAAGCUCUUCGUACAGGACGAAAAAGGAGCAUUCAACUUUGACCAGGAAACAGUGAUCAACCCAGAGACGGGCGAGCAGGUGAGGGAGGCCUCAGCAGAGCCCCAGGGUACUGGGAGGGUGGGUACAGGUGGGGCAGUGGCCACCCUAAGCCCGACAGUGGAGCUCCUUUUCCAGAUUCAGAGCUGGUAUCGGAGCGGGGAGACCUGGGAUAGCAAGUUCAGCACCAUCGCCUCCAGCUACGAAGAGUGCCGGGCUGAGAGCGUGGGUCUCUACCUCUGUCUCCACCCGCAAGUGCUGGAGAUCUUUGGCUUUGAGGGGGCUGAUGCGGAGGACGUGAUCUACGUGAACUGGCUCAACAUGGUUCGGGCCGGGCUGCUCGCUCUGGAGUUCUACACACCUGAGGCCUUCAACUGGCGACAG